GCGGGCUUGGCCCCGAGCCGGGAAACCAGAGACGCGGGACCCGGCUUGAGCCAGCUUUUCCUCCUUAACUCCUUGACCUUGCUGAGGAAGAAGAGAUGACCGGUUCCCAGUGUUGCCAAGUUUGUACCCUUUGUACCACGGAAGCUGGUGUAGAUGUUUGCUCACUGAAGAGGAAUUACUGGUCAUUGGUGUCUUAAGAACACGUUACGUUCAAGGAUGUGGCCGUGGACUUCACCGAGGAGGAGUGGGGGCAGCUGGACUCCGCACAGAGGGCCCUGUACAAAGAGGUGAUGCUGGAGAUCUAUGGCAACCUGGUCUUAGUGGGAAAGAAACUUUAUGACUGUGCCGAGUGUGGCAAGAGCUUCAGUCAGAGCACAGACCUUCACAUCCACCAGAGAGUCCACACGAGAAAGAAACCUUUCGUGUGUGAUACAUGUGGCAAAGCCUUCAGUUAUAACAGGAAUCUUCACGUGCAUCAGAGGGUCCACACAGGAGAGAAACCUUUUAAGUGCGAGGAGUGUGGCAAGGGCUUCCAUCAGAGCCCCAACCUUCGCAUCCACUGGAGAGUCCACGCUGGAGCAAAACCGUACAAAUGUGAGAAGUGUUGUGAGAGCUUCAGACAGAACGUAGACCUCCAAGAGCAUCAGAGGGUCCACACAAGGGAAACCAUUUCAAUGGUGAAACCCUUAAAGUACAAGCUUCCGUGCUCAUCAGAAAGUCCACACAGGAGAGAAACCUGUAGGUGUGAGGAGUGUGGAAAGGAUUUAGAUCACAGUGAAUCUUCACAUUCUCCAGAGAAUGAAACUGCAGAUGUGAUGGGUGUGUGAUAAGGGUUUCUUCAGUUAGAGCUUAGAUCUUCGAGUUUAUCUAAGAAUUAAUACAGGAGAAAACCCAUUUAUAUGUGCUAAGUGUAGUAAGGGCUUUGGAAAGAGCACUAACCUUGAGUUCCAUAAGUCCCCACAGGAGAGCAAUGUUACAAAUGUGCAAGUGUGGUAAAGGGUUUCUUAAGAGCACAGAGCUUCUCUGCAGAGCGUCUACUCAGGGGAGAAACCAUUGAUUUCAGUGUCUGUGGUUGGGGCUUCCGUUACAGCACAAACCUUCAUGCACAUCAGAGUCCAUGCGCGGUAGAGACCCUGUGUGCGUGAGAAGCGAGUCAGGCCUUCACAUCCAUUUGACUCCACGUGGGAGAAAACCAUGCAGGUGUAGGAUUUUGCAAGCAGUCUAAUGCUUCCCAAUCCCUGUUGACAACAGCAUUAACUCUUCUAAUUACAAAAUGAUACGUGCCUAUUGUAAAAUAUGAAAACAUUAUGAAACAAAAGAUUUGUUACUAUGGUUCUGGAGUCUCUAAAGUGGAUAAUUCACUAAAUAACCUAGAAAAAGAAGAGCAAAAUAAACUCAAAACAAGCAGAAGGGGAUAAUAAAGAUAAGAGCAGAAAUUAAUAAAAUCAAAAACAGAAAAAUAGAGAAAAUCAAUGAAACCAAAAGCUGAUUCUUAAAGAAAAAAAUCAGUAAAGUUGAUAAAUAUCUAGCCAGACUGACCAAGAUAAAAAGAGGGAAGGCACAAAGUCCUGACAUAAAGAAUGAAGGAGGGGACAUCGCUAGUCUCCCUACAAAUAUUAAAAGUAUAAUAAGGAAAUACCAUGAACAACUCUGUGCACAUAUAUGCAGCAACUUAAAUGAAAUGGACCAAUUUCUUGAAAGACACAAAUUACCAAAACUCAUUCAAGGAGAAAUAAAGUGGAUAGUCCUAUACCUAUUAAAGAAAUCUAAUUCAUGGCUUCCAAAAAAGAAAACUCUAGGUCCAGAUGAUUUCACUGGUGAAUUCUACUAAACAUUUAAGGAAGAAACAACAACAAUUUUUCACAAUCUCUUCCAGAAGAUAAAAAGGCAGUACUUCCUAGCUCAUUUUAAUAAAGCCAGCAGUAACCUCAUAUCGAAACGAGACAAAGAUCCAAGAAAACUACAAACCAAUAUCCCUGCCCUCCGUAUAUAGAAGCAAAAAUUCCUCAACAAAAUAUUAGCAAGUGAAAUUCAGCAAAAUAUAAAAAAGAUAACCAAAUGGUGUUCAUUCCAGGAAUACAAGACUGAUUCAACACUUGAGAAUCAAUGUAAUUCUCCACAUUAACAGAUUUAAGAAAAACUACAUGAUCAUAUAAAUAGGUCCAGAAAAAGCAGUUUAAAAAAAUUAACAUUCAUUCAUAAUUAAAAUUCAGCAAACUAGGAAUAGAAGGGAAAUUCUUCAGUCUGGUAAAGGUCAUCUGCAAUAAAACUACAGCUAACAUCAUACUUAAUGGUGAAAGAUGGAAUGCUUUCCUCCUAAGACUGGAAAUUAAUGCAAGAAUGUCUACUGUCAUUACUCCUAUUGAAUAUUGCUGUGGAAGUCUUAGCAAAUGCAAUAAGUCUGGAGAAAACUAAAGGCAUUCUAAUUGAAAAGGAAGAAAUAAAACUAUUCACAGAUGUUAUGAUUGUCUAUGUAAAAUAUCCCAAAGAAUCUAUUAAAAAGCUCUUAGAAUUAAAAGGUUUAGCAAGGUUGCAGAAUACAAGAUCAAUAUACAAAAAUCCGUUGUAUUUCUAUAUAUUAGCAAUGAACAACUGGAAACACAAAUUUAAAAAACAGUACCAUUUGUAUUAGUUCCAAAGGAGAAAGAAAUGCUUAAGUAUAAAUAUAACAAAUUAUGUGAGGUUUUAUGUGCUAAGGAAAGAGGUGAAAAAAAGAACUAAAGUGAAGAGACAUACGCAUAUGGGUUAGAAGACUCAGUAUAGUUAAGAUGGCCGUUCUGCCCAAAUUGACCUAUAGAUUUAUUUCAAUCCCAAACAAAAAUUUAUAUAGAAAGGUAAAGGAACUAGACUAGCCAAGGCAAUUUUGAAAAAGAAGAACAAAGUCUGGAGGACUCAUACCUGAUUUUAAGACAUACUGUAAAUCUACAGCAGUCAAGGCAGUGUAAUCUGGGCAAAAGGAUAACAGAGAAUAAUGAGACAUAAUAGAAAUCCCAGAAAUAGACUCACAAAUAUGAUGAACUGAUUUUUGACCAAGGUGCGAUAGAAAUUCAGUAGAGAAAGGAAAGUCUUCAAUGAAUGGUGCUAGAACUGGAUGUCUAUAUGCAGAAAUACGAACCUUGAUUUACAAUUUACACUGUUAAAAAUUAACUCAAAAUGGAUCAUAGCUAGACCACAGUGAGAUACCACUUCACAUUCACUAGCAUGUCACUAAUCAAAAAGACAGUAACAAGCAGUGAUGGUUGGAACUGUCAUAUAUUACUGGUGGAAUUGUAAAAUGGUGCAACCACUUUGGAAAACAAUUCGGCAGUUCCCCAAAAAGUUAAACAUAGAGUUGCCAAAAGACCCAGCAGUUCUAUUCCUGGGUACACCCAAGAGAAACGAAAACAUUUGUCCACACAAAAAUGUGUGCACAAAUGUUCAUAGCAGCAGUGUUCAUAAUAACUAAAAAGCUGAAACAAAUGUCCAUCAACUGGUGAGUGGGUAAAUAAAAUAUAGUAUAUUCAUACAGUGGACUAUUAUUCAGCUAUAAUAAAUGAAGUACUGAUGCAUGUUAGAACAUGGAUGGACCUUGAAAAUAUGCUAAGUGAAAGAAGUCACAAAAUAUUACAUAUUGUAUGAUUCAAGUUAUAUAAAAUGCUUAAAAUAAGCAAGACUGAAGAGAUGGAAUGUAGAUUAAUGGUUGCUCGGGGCUAAAGGUAGAAAGUGGA